AGAGUUUGAUCCUGGCUCAGGACGAACGCUGGCGGCGUGCUUAACACAUGCAAGUCGAACGGAUCAUCAGGAUUUCGGUUUUGGUGGUGAGUGGCGAACGGGUGAGUAACACGUGAGUAACCUGCCCCGGACUCUGGGAUAACGACUCGAAAGGGUUGCUAAUACCGGAUAUUGAAUCUCUGUCGUGUGGUGGGGGUUUGAAAGUUUUUUCGGUUCGGGAUGGGCUCGCGGCCUAUCAGCUUGAUGGUGGGGUGAUGGCCUACCAUGGCUUCGACGGGUAGCCGGCCUGAGAGGGCGACCGGCCACACUGGGACUGAGAUACGGCCCAGACUCCUACGGGAGGCAGCAGUGGGGAAUAUUGCACAAUGGGCGAAAGCCUGAUGCAGCAACGCCGCGUGCGGGAUGACGGCCUUCGGGUUGUAAACCGCUUUCAGCAGGGACGAAGCGCAAGUGACGGUACCUGCAGAAGAAGCACCGGCUAACUACGUGCCAGCAGCCGCGGUGAUACGUAGGGUGCGAGCGUUGUCCGGAAUUAUUGGGCGUAAAGAGCUUGUAGGCGGUCUGUUGCGUCGGAAGUGAAAACUCAGGGCUUAACCCUGAGCCUGCUUUCGAUACGGGCAGACUUGAGGAAUGUAGGGGAGAACGGAAUUCCUGGUGGAGCGGUGGAAUGCGCAGAUAUCAGGAGGAACACCGGUGGCGAAGGCGGUUCUCUGGACCUUUCCUGACGCUGAGGAGCGAAAGCGUGGGGAGCAAACAGGCUUAGAUACCCUGGUAGUCCACGCCGUAAACGGUGGGCACUAGGUGUGGGACCCAUUCCACGGGUUCCGUGCCGUAGCUAACGCAUUAAGUGCCCCGCCUGGGGAGUACGGCCGCAAGGCUAAAACUCAAAGGAAUUGACGGGGGCCCGCACAAGCGGCGGAGCAUGCGGAUUAAUUCGAUGCAACGCGAAGAACCUUACCUGGGUUUGACAUGCACUAGAAAGCGUCAGAGAUGGCGCCUCCUUCGGGCUGGUGUGCAGGUGGUGCAUGGCUGUCGUCAGCUCGUGUCGUGAGAUGUUGGGUUAAG
rnacentral:rRNA from 1 species